UCUCGAUUCCUAGGUUAGAGUAGUCAAGAAAUUUUAUUCAUAAAAGUAGGUAAAGCCCAAGUAUACAAGAAGUAUACAUGAGAAGUACCUAACUAGGGUUUACAACCGAAAGUAGAAAAUCAUAGACAUUUAGCCCAUUAA